rnacentral:rRNA from 1 species
UACGUAGGGUCCGAGCGUUGUCCGGAAUUACUGGGCGUAAAGCGUGCGUAGGUGGUGAGUUAAGUCUGUCGUGAAAGCCCCGGGCUCAACCUGGGAAUGGCGAUGGAUACUGGCUCGCUAGAGUGCGGUAGAGGAGAGUGGAAUUCCCGGUGUAGCAGUGAAAUGCGUAGAGAUCAGGAGGAACACCGGUGGCGAAGGCGGUUCUCUGGGAAUAUCCUGACGCUGAGGCGCGAAAGCGUGGGGAGCAAACAGG